rnacentral:rRNA from 1 species
UACGUAGGCAACAAGCGUUGUUCGGAGUUACUGGGCGUAAAGAGUGCGUAGGUGGUGCCCUAAGUCUGUUGUGAAAUCUCCCGGCUUAACUGGGAGGGUGCGGUGGAAACUGGGGUGCUUGAGCGUGGGAGAGGAAAGCGGAAUUCCUGGUGUAGCGGUGAAAUGCGUAGAUAUCAGGAGGAACACCUGUGGUGUAGACGGCUUUCUGGACCAUAGCUGACGCUGAGACACGAAAGCGUGGGUAGCAAACAGG